AUGCUAUUUGAUCCAAACAGACAUUACAGGUAUGCACUGGGAAGUGUCAGAAUACCACAGUGUGUACAAGGAAAUUUUUGAGAAAACGGAAACAGUGUUGUCACGGCAUUUUCACAGUAGUACAAGGCAAGAGAACAAGAGAAAACAGACAUGCCUUGAAAGAUUAGAAGUUCUGACUAGAUAAAUGGAAACAGCAUGAGGGCCAUCAAGAAUGGGAAGACACUGCCCAAAGAAGGAUGAAACACAGCGCUGUUGAGAGGAGCCUUUGUUGCAAGGAUCAGACGUGGCAGAUUCUGCAAGCCUGGCAGCCCUGGCGGCAUAGCUCUGCUGGUUUAAUUACCAGUGCUGCUCACAGGGUGGAGGAAACCUUCAUAGUAGUGGGAGAACCACAGGUCAAUCUCCUGGCUGGUCCCAAACCGGCCCAGCUCAAAUGCUUUGUCAGCUAACGUUGCAGCUUCAUAUAAGAGGGCACAGGAAGGUAUAAUAAGACUCUGUAGAUGCAGGUUGAAACCAGACGAGUUCAGACUACAAAUUAAGUGAAAGCAUUUUUGCCUAUCAAUGAAGGGUGAUUCACAGCCACGGCUGCUUCCCGUCCUCCUGGGGCUUUUCUACAGUGUGAGGCUUCCCACAGGCUCAGUGAUACUCCUGCCACGGGUCUGUCCUUGGCUUCCAGCCUGAGCUUCUCUGCUGGCCAGAGUGGUGCGAGGGUGGCAAAGACAGCAGAUUGGCCUGGCCCCACGGAAUGUCAUGUUUCACCAAUGGGAUGCUGUCAGGGAGAAAACAGCAGCUUGGGUCAUUGUAGCACUACCUCCAUAGAUCUAAGAAGUGACAUGAACCGCAUGUUACAGCCACAUGAAGCCUGUUCAUUGUGAAGUGGAGAGCUCUGGCGCAGCAGGAAAGAGCAGACCCUAAUGAGGAGCCCAUUCAUGUGCUGGGGAGGAACAGCUCCCCAAGGGCAGGAAGUGGCAUCCUCAGGGCCAACAGAUUUGCAGUUAUUCAGGCACCACUCAAAUUAUUUCUGGACCUGGAUGCUGAGGAGUUAUGUUAUAAAAAUAAUAAACUUGCAUUUCUAUGGUACUUUCAUGUUACAGGUAUGUUCUAUCAGCUCUGCAGGAAAAUAAAUGGAAAUGCCACGAUUUCUAGGGGUUUUAUAACCAUUGUCAGUGCUGCGCACAUUAUAAGGAAUGAUAACCCAUCUAAAUGAAAGACUUUGGGAUGCAGACAGAUACAGAACUUCAAUUUUCUAGUGAAAAUUCAGGGAUUUACUCCAAGCUUCUGCUCUUGAAAUUAUGGGAUUACGAAGUUUUACUUGAAAUAUCUUUCUUCUGAUCUGAAAAGUUACAUGGAAAAGCUUUAACACUGGAAGCUCAGAGACUGGAAACCAAACGUAAUCAACCCUUGCUACUUUGAAUUUAAGGCAAUGCAUUACUUGAGAGGGAAGAGGAACCUGCCACCUUGGCUUUCAGCACACGCCUUCAGCAGGCACGUUUUUGACAUUACGCUGACUGCGACUUGUCACAGUGACAAGAUGCAGCCUCCAUUAAUUAACAGAGGCCUGGCACUCUCUACUCACAUGUCUUUCAGCGAUCUGUGUUUUCCAAGAAAACUGCAUCUGAUCUUUGUUCUGAGUGGUGAAUCGUGGAGGACCUGAUAACUGGGAGUAUAAAAUACGUGACUUCAUCUCUUACAGCCUGUGGCCAUAUUAUUAUUAUUGUUGUUCGUUUUUGUUGUUUUCUGUACUGAUUGUUCACAUUAAGGUUCUGAUCUAC
ensembl:lncRNA